rnacentral:rRNA from 1 species
GAAAUGCGAUAAGUAAUGUGAAUUGCAGAAUUCAGUGAAUCAUCGAAUCUUUGAACGCACCUUGCGCUCCUUGGUAUUCCGAGGAGCACACCUGUUUGAGUGUCGUGAAAUUCUCAACCUAACUGCCCUUGUUGGUUUUGUUAGGCUUGGAUAAUGGAGGCUUGCUGGCUACUUGGUAGUAGGCUCCUCUCAAAUGCAUUAGCUUGGUUCCUUGUGGAUCAGCUCUCGGUGUGAUAAUUGUCUACGCCGUGACUGUGAAAUGUUUGGCAAGCUUCUAACAGUCUCUUAGGGAGAUAUCUAAUAUUUGACAUCUGACCUCAAAUCAGGUGGGACUACCCGCUGAACUUAA